UGAGGGGGAAAGUGGGGGAUCGCAAGACCUCACGUUAUUCGAGCGGCCGACGUCUGAUUAGCUAGUUGGUGGGGUAAUGGCUCACCAAGGCGACGAUCAGUAGCGGGUCUGAGAGGAUGAUCCGCCACACUGGGACUGAGACACGGCCCAGACUCCUACGGGAGGCAGCAGUGGGGAAUUUUGGACAAUGGGGGCAACCCUGAUCCAGCCAUUCCGCGUGAGUGAAGAAGGCCUUCGGGUUGUAAAGCUCUUUCAGCAGGAACGAAACAGUAGAGGCUAAUACCCUCUGCUAAUGACGGUACCUGCAGAAGAAGCACCGGCUAACUACGUGCCAGCAGCCGCGGUAAUACGUAGGGUGCGAGCGUUAAUCGGAAUUACUGGGCGUAAAGCGUGCGCAGGCGGAUUGUUAAGCAAGACGUGAAAUCCCCGGGCUUAACCUGGGAAUGGCGUUUUGAACUGGCAGUCUAGAGUGUGUCAGAGGGGGGUGGAAUUCCACGUGUAGCAGUGAAAUGCGUAGAGAUGUGGAGGAACACCAAUGGCGAAGGCAGCCCCCUGGGAUAACACUGACGCUCAUGUACGAAAGCGUGGGUAGCAAACAGGAUUAGAUACCCUGGUAGUCCACGCCCUAAACGAUGUCAACUGGUUGUUGGGGGAGUGAAAUCCCUUAGUAACGAAGCUAACGCGUGAAGUUGACCGCCUGGGGAGUACGGUCGCAAGAUUAAAACUCAAAGGAAUUGACGGGGACCCGCACAAGCGGUGGAUGAUGUGGAUUAAUUCGAUGCAACGCGAAAAACCUUACCUACCCUUGACAUGUCCAGAAUCCUGCAGAGAUGCGGGAGUGCCCGAAAGGGAAUUGGAACACAGGUGCUGCAUGGCUGUCGUCAGCUCGUGUCGUGAGAUGUUGGGUUAAGUCCCGCAACGAGCGCAACCCUUAUCAUUAGUUGCUACGCAAGGGCACUCUAAUGAGACUGCCGGUGACAAACCGGAGGAAGGUGGGGAUGACGUCAAGUCCUCAUGCCCUUAUGGGUAGGGCUUCACACGUCAUACAAUGGUCGGUACAGAGGGUUGCCAAGCCGCGAGGUGGAGCCAAUCCCAGAAAGCCGAUCGUAGUCCGGAUUGUUCUCUGCAACUCGAGAGCAUGAAGUCGGAAUCGCUAGUAAUCGCGGAUCAGCAUGUCGCGGUGAAUACGUUCCCGGGUCUUGUACACACCGCCCGUCACACCAUGGGAGUGGAAUCUGCCAGAAGUAGGUAGCCUAACCGCAAGGAGGGCGCUUACCACGGUGGGUUUCAUGACUGGGGUGAAGUCGGAACAAGGUA
rnacentral:rRNA from 1 species